UGCAAGGUGUUGGGAGCAGAACGUGGGC
rnacentral:piRNA from 1 species